UACGUAGGGUGCGAGCGUUGUCCGGAAUUAUUGGGCGUAAAGAGCUCGUAGGCGGUGUGUCGCGUCGGCCGUGAAAACCUGGGGCUUAACUCUGGGCGUGCGGUCGAUACGGGCAUCACUAGAGUUCGGCAGGGGAGACUGGAAUUCCUGGUGUAGCGGUGAAAUGCGCAGAUAUCAGGAGGAACACCGGUGGCGAAGGCGGGGUCUCUGGGCCGAUACUGACGCUGAGGAGCGAAAGCAUGGGGAGCGAACAGG
rnacentral:rRNA from 1 species